CCAGGGAGGAGGAGGGAAUGAUUCAAGGCCAAAAUGGCCACAUUUAGAAGAUACCUCAGAUGAUAACCAUUGUUAUGUGUGUGCAAUUUUAUUUAACAGUGCUGUGUAUGUGGUGGACAAGUUAUAUGAAAUAUCUAGUCUUUCUAGAUAUUUGGAAGUGCUUGAUGUAUUUAAAAGUGGUAGUAAAAUAACACUUUGUAAGUAGCUUUUAAAAACUGAUGGGAAAUGCUGUUUGGAAGUGGAAUUGUUGAACCACCUGGGAGGUGGGAGGGAAGAAAUUGCAAAUGGUGUUUUGCCAUUGUUUAUUAGAAAAUUUCAGCUUAAAAAAAAAUGGUCUGGUCUCAAGGAUAGUUGUUUGCAACUUAGCUCUUUUAUAAUAAUGUAAAAAAAGAUUUGUCUUUCUUUAUUUUCAAAAGCUGACUUUAUAUAGAUUCUAGCUUCUGACCUAAAUCAUUUCCUUGAUAUAAUAAACUUUUACAUGAAAUAAUACUUUCAUUCAGUCGAUUAAAAUAAUUUUCCUACCAGCUAGUAGAGUGCAACGUGUAAAAAUCUACAGUUAAAUGGGAUCAAAUCAGACAGUACAGAUUUCC
rnacentral:lncRNA from 1 species